AUGAGUGUUUAUGGUGUGAAUUUA
rnacentral:siRNA from 1 species